GUGCUUGCUUUGGCAGGACAUAUACUAAAAUUGGAACAAUACAGAGAAGAUUAUUAUAGCCCCUGUGAAAGGAUGACAUGCAAAUUCAUCAGGUGUAAAUGAUACUA